rnacentral:misc_RNA from 1 species
UUUCCGUAGGUGAACCUGCGGAAGGAUCAUUAUUGUAUAACCGAGGUGCGAGGGCUGUCGCUGACCCGAAAGGUCGUGCACGCCCGAGGGCCCUCACACACAUCCAUCUCACCCCUAUGUGCACCACCGCGUGGGUCCCCCUUUGGCUUGUUCGGAGGGGGUGCUUACGUUUUCACACAAACUUUGUAUGCAGUGUAGAAUGUAUUUUUUGUUUUUGCGAUCACGCAAUCAAUACAACUUUCAACAACGGAUCUCUUGGCUCUC